CUCUCACAAAAUCCCCAUCUCAAAUUACAAACCCUAGCGCGAGCCCUCCGCCGCAGCCUCAGACUCAGACGCUCUCAGUUUCAAGCUCUCAGAGAUGUCGCACUUCGGACGAUCUGGACCCCCAGAUAUCAGAGACACCUACUCUCUCCUCGUCCUCAACAUCACGUUCCGAACCACCGCAGACGAUCUCUUCCCGCUCUUCGACAAGUAUGGCAAGGUAGUCGAUGUCUUCAUUCCCAGGGAUCGAAGAACCGGUGAUUCACGCGGCUUUGCUUUCGUUCGGUAUAAGUAUCAAGACGAGGCUUCAAAGGCCGUAGAGAAGCUCGACGGGAGAGUUGUGGAUGGAAGAGAGAUUAUGGUUCAGUUUGCUAAAUACGGCCCCAAUGCUGAGCGAAUCCACAAGGGUAGGGUGAGUGAAUCAUCUUCCAAGCUCAAAUCAAGGUCCAGAAGCCGCAGCCCUCGUCCAAGAUAUCGAGAUGAAUAUAAGGAUAAGGAUUACAAGAGAAGUCGCAGUCGAAGUAGGGAGAGACAUGGUCGUGACAGGCAUCAUAGGAGUGAAAGAGAGCAUCGCUACAGAAGCAGGAGCCGCAGUGCAAGUCCUGAUAAUCAUAAAUCCCGCGAGAGGGGUAGAUAUGAUGAUGAGCGGCGUAGUCGGAGCCGGUCAUAUGGAAGUGCCUCUCCCGCUCGGAAUGACCCUAAAUCUCGGAGAAGCCCUACUCCCCGGAGGAGCCUAUCUCCCAGGAGGAGUUUAUCUCCCCGGAGGAGCCUAUCACCUCGGAGGAGCCCAUCUCCUCGGAAAAGCCCAUCUUCUCGGAGGAGCCCUUCUCCUCGUAGGACACCUUCAAGGGGUGAGAAUGCUGAUGGACGCAACCGGAACGAGCGCUCUGCUACCCCAAAAGAUGUUUCACCACAUGGUCGACGUGAUGAUUCUCCAAGUCUUUCCCCUCGUAAAUCUGAUGCUGAUGAAUGAUGGACUCGAAUACAAAGUGGCCUGGGAUUAUACUUUUGGCUCGAGCCCUUGUAUCUGCGUUCGUAGUUGGGAGAAGAGUUUCAUAUUAUGAUCAACGUAUUGAAUGUUACAUUUGACUGCACUGCAGUUUUGUUGAAGGUUAAACAUUUCUUUGUUGGACUCAUGAUGUUCGGGAAGAGUGAACAUUGCUGAUUGACGAGAUGCUGUACUAGCUGUUGGUGCUAUUUUAACUACACAAAUGGUAGAUGUCAAUAUAUCAUGUCCAUGCUGAUUGCAGUCUGGUCUUAUUCCUACUUACAAUGGUCCAUAUGCUGGCCUUAUUUAGUGGUGUUCGGGAAGAGUGAACAUUGCUGAUUGACGAGUUGCUGUACUAGCUGUUGGUGCUAUUUUUACUACACAAAGGGUAGAUGUCAAUUUGUCAUGUUCAUGCUGAUUGCAGUCUGGUCUUAAGCUGUUUUGCUGUCAUGAAACUCUGGUUGGUUUGUUCCUACAAAGGAAACGUUGAUGCUGUUGCCAAAAGUUGAUCGGAAUUCACUUGCCAUUCCAUGUAGCUGAUGCGGUUUAGAUAAAAACACAUUGACUUUUUCUCUUUUAGGUUAUUUUAGGGAAGAGAAGAAAAAAGGGGUGGGGUUUGGUUAUGAUUUUCACCAGUUAAAUGUUACUGGUCCAUAUUCUUGAGUCAUGCCCUUGAUGCAAUAUUGGUAUAUCUGGUAAAUACUGCCGCAAGGUACUUGUUCAGCUGUGUGAAAGAUGAUUUAUUUUCUGCAUUGUUAAGCUUGUAUAAUAAUUUCUGAAUAAGUUAUGUAAUUGUAACCUUUCUUAUGCCAAUUUUAUUUUCAUUC